rnacentral:snRNA from 1 species
GCUUCUCGGCCUUUUGGCUAAGAUCAAGUGAAG